GUAACAAGGUAGCAAGAAAGAAGGGCGGGGGAAUGUGAAAGCGAUCUCUAAUCCCAGUACAGAUUGAUAAUAAGCCGCACUUAUUUAAAGGACAGGCGAAGGCGCAGGGCAGCUGGGGUCCUGUUAGCAUUUGCCUGUUGCUCAGCUUGUGGCCGUGUGGGAUCGGGAGUCCCCGUGUAUCUUUCUAUGUAUGAGACGAAUGUGAUAGUUUGAAGCUCAGGACCAUCGUGUAUAUGAUUUUUGCUCUGCUAAGGUAUGUUUUGUUUAUUUCUUUUGUUUGUGUUAUUGGGAUGUUUUAUGUAUGAAAAUGAUUUAUUUCAUGUAGAAUGUGGGUGUUUGAUGUUCUGGACCGUCAUGUGUCUGGUUGGUUUCGCCCUGUUAAGGUAUGUUUAUUUUUUAGUUUUGUUUAUUUGAAUGUGACUAGCACUCAUGAAAUUAUCUAUUUUGUUAUAGGUUGUUGGAUGAUAGUGACUAGUCGCUGUUCUCUUUAGUUUUUUUGUUAUUUACUUUACUUAUAAAACUGACUGCUCCCAGUUAUGAAUGUUUGUUAAUUCCCUAGCCAGCUUGUGUUUUGUUUUCUUUUGAAUCAUUUAGGUUGAGUUAUUUGGUUUGAUUGCUGGCUAGGGGAUUUUAUUAUUUUCUUUUUUCUUCCUUUUUAUAAGUGUAUUUUUUGGGUUUUCCCCUUAUACCCUUUGGUUAUACCUCUCGGGUAGCUUCCCACCAUUUUAUGUGGGUAAUCCGUGGCAGGGAUAUAUAAGAGCCAUAAUGUAUUUGUGCCUCAUGGUGUGGUAUAUUGAUUUGAUUUGAGUGGGUAUCACUAAUGAUUUAUGGUGGCUUUAUCUGGUUAAGGUUGCUGUGGUUUGAAGUGUGCAGUGUAAUUACUCCUCCCUGUGGUAAUCUUUACUAUUCCUUGCCCGUUGAUGUAUACCCGCUGACGGUGGCUACCCUUGUGGGCUGUUUCCGGUCCGGGUGGAUGACCCAAUUUAUUUUAAUACUUUGUUAAAUAAAGUAUAAUGUAUUUUUCUACUA